rnacentral:rRNA from 1 species
GAUGAACGCUGGCGGCGUGCUUAACACAUGCAAGUCGAACGGUGAAGCCCCGCUUGCGGGGUGGAUCAGUGGCGAACGGGUGAGUAACACGUGAGCAACCUGCCCCGGACUCUGGGAUAAGCGCUGGAAACGGCGUCUAAUACUGGAUACGAGCCGUGAAGGCAUCUUCAACGGUUGGAAAGAUUUUUCGGUCUGGGAUGGGCUCGCGGCCUAUCAGCUUGUUGGUGAGGUAAUGGCUCACCAAGGCGUCGACGGGUAGCCGGCCUGAGAGGGUGACCGGCCACACUGGGACUGAGACACGGCCCAGACUCCUACGGGAGGCAGCAGUGGGGAAUAUUGCACAAUGGGCGGAAGCCUGAUGCAGCAACGCCGCGUGAGGGAUGACGGCCUUCGGGUUGUAAACCUCUUUUAGCAAGGAAGAAGCGAAAGUGACGGUACUUGCAGAAAAAGCGCCGGCUAACUACGUGCCAGCCGCCGCAGUAAAAC